CAGUGACUUCACCAUUCUGAGCACUCAACAGGUGACAGUAAAGGGGCAGGAUUCUCCCCAUGUUUUUUCCCAUCUGCAGGAUAUGUCUGUUUCAAAUACCACUCAAAUACCUUUAACCUCAGACCCUGGCCCCGGAAUCUUCUUUGUGACAGGUAUCCUCAGUUUCAUCGCGGGACCUUGCAUCUUCCUUUUCCUCAUUCACCUGGUGAUUUAUCAUUUCAAAAAGAAAAGAAAGUGCCAAGGGAAUGAUCUGGUGAGGAGAGAUUCAGGAAGGGAGACGUUCCUGAGUGCCGAAGAGAUGGAGUGCGUAUGUGAGGAUGCUGAGUUCGAAGACCUUGGGAUGCAACUGGAAGAAUCAAUAUGCAUAUAUUAAAACUUUUGUUACGUUUUGGUCCAGACAGUCACUGUGUGUGUUCAGAUAAGAUAACGCUGACUUGUAUUCCAGUUUUUUGUACGUUGUCCAAUAAUAAAUACUCCAGUUCUUCCA